GAUACGAGCGCAGCAGUACUGUUACUACAGCUAUACUGACCAUGCCAGUACACAGCAGGAAGGAACCCUGUUCUGUUCGACAACGUGCUGCGGGACAAUACAGGAUAGAACGUGCUGUUCCUCAAUUACAGCGACCGUGAUCGGUAUAGUGGUAUGCAGCACGAUAUUACUGGUAUCAAUCGUCAUUAUUGUCACAUGUUGUUGUUACAAAGCAACGAAAACUACGAUAGAGCGGAUCAGCGUCCCGCCCGAGUUUAAUACAAGUCUAGAUUGUGUUUCAAGGACGGAGAGAAGAUAUCCUUCUCCACCAGCGGGACAUCCCCACACCAACGAGUAUCUACCCCCAAUACAGGACGACGGCGAGAGUAUUCCUAGCUACGACCCACCGCCAUAUACUCUUCAUGAAGACAAGGAACACGAGGGAUCUGUGCAGUGAAAGAGAGAGAAAAGAAAGAAAAAACAACAACAUGAUACAUGUAAUGACAUUGGUCAUCUCUCUUUCGUCAAGAUGCACAUGGCUUGUAACUUUCUCAUCAAAACUGCAGCAAUAUACAGAAACUAUCACAGCAUGUACAUUUGUAUUUUGAUCAACACCCAUUCAAAAUAUAAUAAACAUUUUCAACACAUCCCUACGUGUACAAUAUGCAUUUGAACUUUCCCAGUUAAGCGUCCACAAUCAAACAUUGACUGUCAUUAAUCCGACCACUUCAACAAAGAGAUUCCAUUCUUUUCGCUUUACGAGGUAUAUGUGUUCAUCUUUAGAGUAGAUAAUAUUUUUUUUGCCAAAAUAAGAUAUGAAUAUAAGAAUAUUCUUCUGUAUUGUUCUGUGAUUGUAUUUCCAUGUAUUUAAUUAAAUUAUACUGAUUUAUCAAUA